UGACGUAGCUUUUAUAGAAAUAUAAAAGGUGGAACGCGGUAAACCCCUCGAGUGAGCAAUCCAAAUUUGGUAGGAGCACUUGUUUAACGGAAUUCAACGUAUAAACGAGACACACUUCGCGAAAUGAAGUGGUGUAGACAGAUGGUUAUCACCUGAGUACCAGUGUGACUAGUGCACGUGAUGAGUACGAUGGAACAGAACAUGGCUUAUAGAA
rnacentral:RNase_P_RNA from 1 species